AUUGAACGCUGGCGGCAUGCCUUACACAUGCAAGUCGAACGGUAACGGGCCUUCGGGUGCCGACGAGUGGCGAACGGGUGAGUAAUGUAUCGGAACGUACCUUUCAGUGGGGGAUAACGUAGCGAAAGUUACGCUAAUACCGCAUACUCUGUGCGCAGGAAAGCAGGGGAUCGCAAGACCUUGCGCUGAUUGAGCGGCCGAUAUCAGAUUAGCUAGUUGGUGAGGUAAAGGCUCACCAAGGCGACGAUCUGUAGCGGGUCUGAGAGGAUGUUCCGCCACCUUGGAACUGGGACACGGUCCAGCCUCCUACGGGGGGCAGCAGUGGGGAAUUUUGGACGAUGGGGGCAACCCUGAUCCAGCCAUGCCGGGUGAGUGAAGAAGGCCUUCGGGUUGUAAAGCUCUUUCGGCCGGGAAGAAAUCGUAUCAGCUAAUACCUGGUGCGGAUGACGGUACCGGCAUAAGAAGCACCGGCUAACUACGUGCCAGACGCCGCCGUAAAAC
rnacentral:rRNA from 1 species